rnacentral:rRNA from 1 species
UACGUAGGCAGCGAGCGUUGUUCGGAAUUACUGGGCGUAAAGAGUGUGUAGGCGGUGCUCUAAGUUCGGUGUGAAAUCUCCUGGCUCAACUGGGAGGGUGCGCCGGAAACUGGAGUGCUUGAGCGUGGGAGAGGAAAGCGGAAUUCCUGGUGUAGCGGUGAAAUGCGUAGAUAUCUGGAGGAACACCGGUGGCGAAGGCGGCAUCCUGGACCGAGAUUGACGCUGAUGCGCGAAAGCCAGGGGAGCAAACGGG